rnacentral:miRNA from 1 species
AAUUAACAUUUGGAUCAUCUGAA